rnacentral:tRNA from 1 species
GACUCCGUAGCUCAGUUGGUAGAGCAAAUGACUCUUAAUCAUUGGGUCAAGGGUUCGAUUCCCUUCGGGGUCA